UACGAAGGGUGCAAGCGUUACUCGGAAUUACUGGGCGUAAAGCGUGCGUAGGCGGUUUGUUAAGUCAGAUGUGAAAGCCCCGGGCUCAACCUGGGAACUGCAUUUGAUACUGGCGAGCUAGAGUACGGUAGAGGGUGGUGGAAUUCCCGGUGUAGCGGUGAAAUGCGUAGAGAUCGGGAGGAACAUCUGUGGCGAAGGCGGCCACCUGGACCAGUACUGACGCUGAGGCACGAAAGCGUGGGGAGCAAACAGG
rnacentral:ncRNA from 2 species